CCGGACUCGAAAUUUGGACUCGGAAUACUCGGUUCUCGGAACUAGGAGCUGGCUGAUGUGGUGACCACGUUCGCGACCACGCAUACUUUUGGCAGCGCCGACAAGCUGGGCUUAAAUUGGAUUUCUAUUUGCCGUUGAUUGAAGUGAAACCGCACACAAUUGAAAUUGCUGCACGGAGGCGAAAAUCUUAUAUUUGUUUUGAAAAUAUUGUAAGGCAGUGUUCAUUUACUUAAUACGAUUUAAUUAUGAAAAUAAACAAUGAUGCACAUGUACAUUAAUUACACAGGGAAAGUUUUGUUAGACAGAAUCUGUAUUUUCCAUCGUUUUUUGUUAAUAAUAUGAUAUGAUAUGAUGCAAUCAACAAAAAAUGCAAUAAAUGGAAUGUUUAAUUCUGAUGACAA